UCUUCCCGAGGAGUGGUUUUGUGGGGAGUGUGAUGUAUUACGUCACAAAAAACAGCCACUCCACAACAGGGAAUGUGUCAUUCAUGGAUUUUUUUGAAGCCAUUCCACCAACCUCGUAUGCCAUUAAAGAGGAAGAUGGAUAUCGCAUCCAUGAGCAAGGACGUUUUGACUUGCAUCAGCCACUAUAUGUAUGUCAAACGUGCCAGCAUCAGUGGACCCCUGAAUUGAAGGACCUCCUUAGGAGUGGAUAUUGGCCUCUGUGACUAAUUCCACACUUUAUACACUGGACGUCCUGAGCUCUUUUCAGGAACUCAAGGUGAUCUCUCCGGGAUUCUCCAGACAAGCCUUCGCAAAGCUGCUGGAGCAUCGCACUAAGAUUGGCGGAAGAACUGGACAAAUCAAUGGUGAUGCACUACAGCGCAGCUUCUUGGAGUUUUCAUGUGCUUCAUUUGAGGAAGAGCAGCUCUGCUGUGGUGCUCCUUUCACCUGCCCAGCCUGCACGCCAGAAAUGUUGGCUGUUUCUGCUGAUGGAAAUAGAAAGCAGUAUCGCUUUCGUAGAGAGACAAGCUCUGAUGAUCCUGGCUUUUUUAAGGGGCUCUUUGUGGCUGAAGACAGUGCGGUGUCUAGAUUUGUAGACACCAAACAUAAAGCAGUGAGAAAU